GAUGAACGCUAGCGGGAGGCCUAACACAUGCAAGCCGAGCGGUAUUGUUUCUUCGGAAAUGAGAGAGCGGCGUACGGGUGCGUAACACGUGUGCAACCUGCCUUUAUCUGGGGGAUAGCCUUUCGAAAGGAAGAUUAAUACUCCAUAACAUAUUGAACGGCAUCGUUUAAUAUUGAAAGCUCCGGCGGAUAGAGAUGGGCACGCGCAAGAUUAGCUAGUUGGUGAGGUAACGGCUCACCAAGGCGAUGAUCUUUAGGGGGCCUGAGAGGGUGAUCCCCCACACUGGUACUGAGACACGGACCAG
rnacentral:rRNA from 1 species